GGAACCUAGAGAGUGUGGCGCACGAAGAGCCAAAAUUGUGUAGAUUUACAAAGUGAACGCUCCGUAAAUCUACACAAUCUCGAUUCAUCUGUACCCUCUAGGUACUCUGCAGCUGUGUAAUAAUGACUCUACCAAUCAGAUGUUUUUAA
ensembl:ncRNA F14D1.1 ncRNA